rnacentral:rRNA from 1 species
UACGGAGGGUGCAAGCGUUAUCCGGAUUUACUGGGUUUAAAGGGUGUGUAGGCGGACUAUUAAGUCAGUGGUGAAAUCCCGAGGCUCAACCUCGGAACUGCCUUUGAUACUAUUAGUCUUGAAUGUUGUUGAGGUGGGCGGAACGGGUCAUGUAGCGGUGAAAUGCAUAGAUAUGACCCGGAAACACCGAUUGCGAAGGCAGCCCGCUAAGCAACUAUUGACGCUGAGGCACGAAAGCGUGGGGAUCAAACAGG